GCAACCUACCUUAAUCAGGGGGAUAGCCCGAAGAAAUUCGGAUUAACACCGCAUAAAAACACAGGGCAGCAUUGUCCAAUGUUCAAAUAUUUAUAGGAUUAAGAUGGGCAUGCGUGUCAUUAGCUAGUUGGCGGGGUAACGGCCCACCAAGGCGACGAUGACUAGGGGAUCUGAGAGGAUGACCC
rnacentral:rRNA from 1 species